rnacentral:misc_RNA from 1 species
GAUGAAGAACGUAGCAAAAUGCGAUAAGUAAUGUGAAUUGCAGAAUUCAGUGAAUCAUCGAAUCUUUGAACGCACAUUGCGCCCGCCAGUAUUCUGGCGGGCAUGCCUGUUCGAGCGUCAUUUCAACCCUCAAGCACAGCUUGGUGUUGGGACUCGCGUUAAUUCGCGUUCCCCAAAUUGAUUGGCGGUCACGUCGAGCUUCCAUACCGUAGUAGUAAAACCCUCGUUACUGGUAAUCGUCGCGGCCACGCCGUUAAACCCCAACUUCUGAAUGUUGACCUCGGAUCAGGUAGGAAUACCCGCUGAACUUAAGCAUAUCAAUAAGCGGAGGA